rnacentral:lncRNA from 1 species
AUGCAGUUAAUAGUGGACAGAGCCAUAGGUAUUGUUGUCAGAGUCGAGGUAGGCUAACACACUGGAGGCCGGGUCAGAUGGCAAGGAAUAAGGCUAAACCGAGUAGUGGCAGCUUUCAUUGCUACUGACUUUCCAGCGGGUUCAGGGCAUACAAAAAAGCACUUAGCAGUUACUUGGCGGGGAAGAAGAUAAAGGCUUUGAAGCUGGGUUGACUCUUUAAGUAUAUGGCUUGCUAGUAGUAGGGUGGAUUCUUGAGCCAUCGUUCCGCUGCCCUUCCUACGUAGCUUGGC